rnacentral:rRNA from 1 species
UACAUGCAAGUCGAGCGAGAAAGUUUCUUCGGAAAUGAGUAAAGCGGCGAACGGGUGAGUAACGCGUAGGAAUCUACCAUUCAGCGGGGGAUAGCUCGAGGAAACUCGAAUUAAUACCGCAUACACCCUACGGGGGAAAGAAGGCCUCUCCUUGGAAGCUUUCACUGUUUGAUGAGCCUGCGUGAGAUUAGUUUGUUGGUGAGGUAAUGGCUCACCAAGACUACGAUCUCUAGCUGGUCUGAGAGGACGAUCAGCCACACUGGGACUGAGACACGGCCCAGACUCCUACGGGAGGCAGCAGUAGAGAAUAUUGGACAAUGGGGGCAACCCUGAUCCAGGCAUGCCGCGUGUGUGAAGAAGGCCUUAGGGUUGUAAAGCACUUUAGGUAAGGAAGAAAAGUUAAUAGUUAAUACCUGUUGACCGUGACAUUACUUACAGAAUAAGGACCGGC